rnacentral:rRNA from 1 species
GCUUCUCUUGAGAGCGGCGGACGGGUGAGUAAUGCCUAGGAAUCUGCCUAGUGGUGGGGGAUAACGUUCGGAAACGGACGCUAAUACCGCAUACGUCCUACGGGAGAAAGCGGGGGACCUUCGGGCCUCGCGCCAUUAGAUGAGCCUAGGUCGGAUUAGCUUGUUGGUGAGGUAAUGGCUCACCAAGGCGACGAUCCGUAACUGGUCUGAGAGGAUGAUCAGUCACACUGGAACUGAGACACGGUCCAGACUCCUACGGGAGGCAGCAGUGGGGAAUAUUGGACAAUGGGCGAAAGCCUGAUCCAGCCAUGCCGCGUGUGUGAAGAAGGUCUUCGGAUUGUAAAGCACUUUAAGUUGGGAGGAAGGGCAUUAACCUAAUACGUUAGUGUUUUGACGUUACCGACAGAAUAAGCACCGGCUAACUUCGUGCCAGCAGCCGCGGUAAUACGAAGGGUGCAAGCGUUAAUCGGAAUUACUGGGCGUAAAGCGCGCGUAGGUGGUUCGUUAAGUUGGAUGUGAAAGCCCCGGGCUCAACCUGGGAACUGCAUCCAAAACUGGCGAGCUAGAGUACGGUAGAGGGUGGUGGAAUUUCCUGUGUAGCGGUGAAAUGCGUAGAUAUAGGAAGGAACACCAGUGGCGAAGGCGACCACCUGGACUGAUACUGACACUGAGGUGCGAAAGCGUGGGGAGCAAACAGGAUUAGAUACCCUGGUAGUCCACGCCGUAAACGAUGUCAACUAGCCGUUGGAAUCCUUGAGAUUUUAGUGGCGCAGCUAACGCAUUAAGUUGACCGCCUGGGGAGUACGGCCGCAAGGUUAAAACUCAAAUGAAUUGACGGGGGCCCGCACAAGCGGUGGAGCAUG